GCUGGCUCCCAGAAGAGGAACCUGCUGCAGGCGCCGGCGCGGGCGGCGAGGACGACCUGUUUUUCUGACCCAGCCCGGAAGCGCUGGUGCAGGUGGCCUUGAGCUUCCUUUUUUCUUCUCGCUGUGGAAAUUGCCUGGAAAGCUAUGAACUGUUGGUUCUUGAAUCAGUUGGCUGCCCCGGAUGUCUGAAUCCCUUGGAAGGAACCUGGAGGAGUUGGCUGAUGGGCUCCAGGUGCUACCGGAUCACCCUAACAACCCUCUGGGACCUGUGGCCAUGUGUUCACAACAGCAGCCAUUACAGGUGUUUCCUGAACUCUUGUCGCGAGCCUCUGUCGGCUCCAUCUCAUCGAUCCUCCCAGCAACCCACAAGGAAGCUUCACAGAGAGGCAGAUGCCACACAGGCCACCCACCCAGAUGCAGAGCCAGAUUCCCUGCGUGGACUGGACGGGAGUUUCCCAGCUGGAGUUCUCUCGGCCAAGCUGCCUGUGACAUGGGGUUGGAGGUGCUCCAGAGAGUCAUGGCCACCCCUGGAGGAAGUGACUUGUGGCUGACUGCUCAAGGGGAAGUCCUGUGGCAGUGGAGUCGUCAGCAUUAAUUCAAAUAAGAUCUCUCCCUGCACACAAUCUGCUUUCGUGUUCCUGAUGGAUUGAAUCAAGAGUGAAUGAGCUCCUACUUCGCGAAAGCAAAACAAACUAAACGCAUCAACCACGACCGCAGAGCCCCCAUCUCUCCCAGGAGGGUGAGCCCAUGUUGUGUUUUCAUUUGUCAGAAAUCUAUCUUAGGAAGCCAUUCCUGAGAUCUGUUCUAAUUUAGGCCAUUUUUAAAAAAAAUAAUGCAGUUGAUUCUU
ensembl:lncRNA LINC01814 long intergenic non-protein coding RNA 1814